CCAAACCAACGCCGCGCUCGGCUUCGGUCUCAAAUCACCACCACAGAAUGAAACAUGGGAAAAGCCAGAGGCAAAAGCAAGCACUUUCGGUGUGAAAGGCAGAAAGUGACGGCAAGGACUGUGAUCUUUGACGACAGUCCAGCUCCAAAGAGAUCCGUGACACGUGUCCCCAUACCAUUUGGCAGUACACAUACUAGUACAUUGCCCCAACAUCCUUGUCCCAGCACAGCAGCAGCUGCUGUUGACACCUUAUUCCCACCACAAGAUGAACCGGAGCUAGCCCCGCCACAAACUCGCACUACAUAUUCAAAACAGAAGAUAGCUACGCAGGAAUCCUGGAACAAUGACAGAGAUGACCUGUUCAACUUAAUGAAGGUGCCAAGAGUCAACAUGUGGCUGGAUAGACAUUGUCUUCAAGGGAAAUGCAGAACCCAUCAGGACAACCUAUUA